rnacentral:rRNA from 1 species
AGGAAUCUGCCUAUUAGUGGGGGACAACGUUUCGAAAGGAACGCUAAUACCGCAUACGUCCUACGGGAGAAAGCAGGGGACCUUCGGGCCUUGCGCUAAUAGAUGAGCCUAGGUCGGAUUAGCUAGUUGGUGAGGUAAUGGCUCACCAAGGCGACGAUCCGUAACUGGUCUGAGAGGAUGAUCAGUCACACUGGAACUGAGACACGGUCCAGACUCCUACGGGAGGCAGCAGUGGGGAAUAUUGGACAAUGGGCGAAAGCCUGAUCCAGCCAUGCCGCGUGUGUGAAGAAGGUCUUCGGAUUGUAAAGCACUUUAAGUUGGGAGGAAGGGCAGUAAGUUAAUACCUUGCUGUUUUGACGUUACCGACAGAAUAAGCACCGGCUAACUCUGUGCCAGCAGCCGCGGUAAUACAGAGGGUGCAAGCGUUAAUCGGAAUUACUGGGCGUAAAGCGCGCGUAGGUGGUUUGUUAAGUUGGAUGUGAAAGCCCCGGGCUCAACCUGGGAACUGCAUCCAAAACUGGCAAGCUAGAGUACGGUAGAGGGUGGUGGAAUUUCCUGU